rnacentral:rRNA from 1 species
UACGUACGAGGCGAGCGUUAUCCGGAAUUACUGGGCGUAAAGCGCGCGCAGGCGGACCAUUAAGUUGGGCGUGAAAUCUCCCGGCCUAACUGGGAGGGGUCGCCCAAGACUGGUGGUCUUGAGGACAGCAGAGGUGGGUGGAAUUCCUGGUGUAGUGGUGAAAUGCGUAGAGAUCAGGAGGAACACCGGUGGCGAAGGCGGCCCACUGGGCUGUCACUGACGCUGAGGCGCGAAAGCUAGGGGAGCGAACAGG